UGAGUGUAAAGAGUGCCAUAGACACCGAC
rnacentral:piRNA from 1 species